AGGUAGAGAGAGGGCUUGCCUAUGAUAGGCAAGGACUCAGGUUCGAGCCCCAGCGCUGGAAGAAUCAGGAAAUUAAGUCAUGAAGUGGUGACUGGGCAGAUAAAGAGCCUUAGGAAGAAACUGCAUGUUUUGAGGAACAGAGCUGUGUCAGCAGAGUGUUUCACACAAAUAAACUGACUUUUGCAUUGAGAACGUGAAUCAACAGAUACCACAAGGCCAGGAACUCUAGCCUAUGGAGUGAUACCACUCAAGUAGGGCGGUAUCAAUUAACAAUCAAGACAAAUCAAGACAAAUACCCCACAGGCAUGCUCACAGCCCAAUCUGACCUGGGCAGCCCUUCAGUUGAGACAUCCUAGUGUCCCUGUGACGAGAUGGGAAGUGGAGGCACUAGAAUCCUUGGCCGGCCAGUCUGACACACAGCCAGGAACAAGAGACCCUGUCUCAAACAUGGUGUAAGAUAAAUUGCUUAUAUUUAUGUCUUUCAAGAACCUGCUUCAGGGGAAUUCAAAGUAGGAUAUCGGAGCAGUCAACUCAGUUGCCCAGGACUACAUGGCUGUGUGUGAGCUCUGGGAUGCAAGGUCAAUGAGCAAUGAGAACUGCCCCAAACACGCCUGCUCAGACUUCAGGCCAGCGUGUGUUAUGGACUGUGGUGCUUUCGGUUUUUACUGUUAUAGAAACACUGCAGUUUGCUUGAUUUUAAAAAUUGCUGUUUGAGUGACAGACUCAAGUGUCAUUAAAAAG
rnacentral:lncRNA from 1 species